AGAGAACUUUCCAGAGAUGGAUUGGUGCCUUCGGGAACUCUGAGACAGGUGCUGCAUGGCUGUCGUCAGCUCGUGUUGUGAAAUGUUGGGGUUAAGUCCCGCAACGAGCGCAACCCUUAUCCUUUGUUGCCAGCGGUUAGGCCGGGAACUCAAAGGAGACUGCCAGUGAUAAACUGGAGGAAGGUGGGGAUGACGUCAAGUCAUCAUGGCCCUUACGAGUAGGGCUACACACGUGCUACAAUGGCGCAUACAAAGAGAAGCGACCUCGCGAGAGCAAGCGGACCUCAUAAAGUGCGUCGUAGUCCGGAUUGGAGUCUGCAACUCGACUCCAUGAAGUCGGAAUCGCUAGUAAUCGUGGAUCAGAAUGCCACGGUGAAUACGUUCCCGGGCCUUGUACACACCGCCCGUCACACCAUGGGAGUGGGUUGCAAAAGAAGUAGGUAGCUUAACCUUCGGGAGGGCGCUUACCACUUUGUGAUUCAUGACUGGGGUGAAGUCGUAACAAGGUAGGCGUAGUGCU
rnacentral:rRNA from 1 species